rnacentral:rRNA from 1 species
UUAAUUCGAAGCAACGCGAAGAACCUUACCAAGUCUUGACAUCCCUCUGACCGUUCCUUAACCGGAACUUUCCUUCGGGACAGGGGAGACAGGUGGUGCAUGGUUGUCGUCAGCUCGUGUCGUGAGAUGUUGGGUUAAGUCCCGCAACGAGCGCAACCCCUAUCCCCAGUAGCCAGCGGUCCGGCUGGGCACUCUGAGGAGACUGCCAGGGAUAACCUGGAGGAAGGCGGGGAUGACGUCAAAUCAUCAUGCCCCUUAUGAUUUGGGCUACACACGUGCUACAAUGGCGUAAACAAAGGGAAGCGAGCCUGCGAAGGUAAGCAAAUCCCAAAAAUAACGUCCCAGUUCGGACUGCAGUCUGCAACUCGACUGCACGAAGCUGGAAUCGCUAGUAAUCGCGGAUCAGAAUGCCGCGGUGAAUACGUUCCCGGGUCUUGUACACACCGCCCGUCACACCAUGGGAGUCAGUAACGCCCGAAGUCAGUGACCUAACUGCAAAGAAGGAGCUGCCGAAGGCGGGACCGAUGACUGGGGUGAAGUCGUAACAAGGUAGCCGUAUCGGAAGGUGCGGCUGGAUCACCUCCUUUCUAAGG